GCCUCCAUGGCGCAACCGGCUAGCGCGUUCGGCUGUUAACCGAAAGGUUCCUAGUUCGAAUCUAGGUGGGGGCG
rnacentral:tRNA from 1 species